CAUGGGCCGAAGGGCAGCCUUGCCUGGGGCCUGUCCUGACCGGUCAGGGACGAAAGCUGGGGGAGCAAACCGGAUUAGAUACCCGGGUAGUACCCAGCAGUAAACCCAUGGGCGCUAGACGUCGUCCGUAAGGGCGGUGUCUCAGCUAACGCGUUAAGCGCCCCGCCUGGGGAGUACGGGCGCAAGCCUGAAACUCAAAGGAAUUGGCGGGGGCCCGCACAACCGGUGGAGCGUCUGGUUCAAUUCGAUGCUAACCGAAAAACCUUACCCGGGCUUGACAUGAUGGGAAACCCUUGCGAAAGCGAGGGGUGCCGUCCUCUGGACGGAAUCCCAUCACAGGUGGUGCAUGGCCGUCGUCAGCUCGUGUCGUGAGAUGUUGGGUUAAGUCCCGCAACGAGCGCAACCCCUGCCCUUAGUUGCCACUCUACGGAGGGCACUCUAAGGGGACUGCCGGCGAUAAGCCGGAGGAAGGUGGGGAUGACGUCAGGUCAGUAUGCCCUUUAUGCCCGGGGCAACACAGGCGCUACAGUGGCCGGGACAAUGGGAAGCGACCCAGAAAUGGGGAGCAAAUCCUCAAACCCGGUCAUGGUGCAGAUUGAGGGCUGAAACUCGCCCUCAUGAAGCCGGAAUCGGUAGUAAUGGCGGAUCGGCUAAGCCGCCGUGAAUACGUUCUCGGGCCUUGCACACACCGCCCGUCACGCCACGGAAGUCAGUCUUCCCGGAAGCCCUCGAGCUAACCCGCAAGGGAGGCAGAGGACGAUGGGAAGGCUGGCAACUGGGGCGAAGUCGUAACAAGGUAGCCGUAGGGGAACCUGCGGCUGGAUCACCUCCUU
rnacentral:rRNA from 1 species